UACGGAGGAUGCGAGCGUUAUCCGGAUUUAUUGGGUUUAAAGGGUGCGUAGGCGGUCCGUUAAGUCAGCGGUAAAAUUGCGGGGCUCAACCCCGUCGAGCCGUUGAAUCUGUCAGACUUGAGUUGGCGAGAAGUACGCGGAAUGCGCGGUGUAGCGGUGAAAUGCAUAGAUAUCGCGCAGAACUCCGAUUGCGAAGGCAGCGUACCGGCGCCACACUGACGCUGAGGCACGAAAGCGUGGGGAUCGAACAGG
rnacentral:rRNA from 1 species